rnacentral:rRNA from 1 species
UACGGAGGAGGCAAGCGUUAUCCGGAAUUAUUGGGCGUAAAGCGUCCGCAGGUGGCACCUCAAGUCUGCUGUCAAAGACCGGGGCUUGACCCCAGAAAGGCAGUGGAAACUGAAGUGCUAGAGUGCAGUAGGGGUAGAGGGAAUUCCCGGUGUAGCGGUGAAAUGCGUAGAGAUCGGGAAGAACAUCGGUGGCGAAAGCGCUCUGCUGGACUGCAACUGACACUCAGGGACGAAAGCUAGGGGAGCGAAUGGG